rnacentral:rRNA from 1 species
UACGUAGGGUGCAAGCGUUUAUCGGAAUUACUGGGCGUAAAGCGUGCGCAGGCGGCUUUGCAAGACAGAUGUGAAAUCCCCGGGCUUAACCUGGGAACUGCAUUUGUGACUGCAUGGCUGGAGUGCGGCAGAGGGGGAUGGAAUUCCGCGUGUAGCAGUGAAAUGCGUAGAGAUGCGGAGGAACACCGAUGGCGAAGGCAGCCCCCUGGGCUAACACUGACGCUCAGGCACGAAAGCGUGGGGAGCAAACAGG